CAUGGCCACCAACCCCCUCCCUGCGCUGGCCCUGCUGGCCCUGCUGGCGCUCCCAGGGCUCCGGGCGGCCGUGACCCUGCUGGAGUCCGGGGGGGACCUCCAGCCCCCCGGGGGGUCCCUGCGCCUCCUCUGCCGCGCCUCCGGGUUCAAUUUCCGGAGUUUCUCCAUGUACUGGGUCCGCCAGAGUCCCGGGCAGGCGCUGGAGUUCGUCGCAAGCAUCUACAGCAGUGGUGGCACCAACUACGCGGAUUCGGUGCGGGGCCGGUUCAGGAUCUCCAGGGACAACGGGCAGAGCUCGGUGACGCUGACCAUGAGCAGCCUCAAGGACGAGGAUUCCGCCGUCUAUUUCUGCGCCAAACAUUUUGGUGCUUGGCCUGGUUAUGGUGCUGAUGGUUUUGCCCCCACCCCAAUGCCCGGCGUCACCAAGCUCUGCCCGUUGUCCCUGGAGAGCGUGACCCGGCCCCGCAGCGACGGCGCGUUGACGGCGUAA